CCUACGGGAGGCAGCAGUGGGGAAUAUUGGACAAUGGGCGAAAGCCUGAUCCAGCCAUGCCGCGUGUGUGAAGAAGGUCUUCGGAUUGUAAAGCACUUUAAGUUGGGAGGAAGGGCAGUAAGUUAAUACCUUGCUGUUUUGACGUUACCGACAGAAUAAGCACCGGCUAACUCUGUGCCAGCAGCCGCGGUAAUA
rnacentral:rRNA from 2 species